rnacentral:rRNA from 1 species
AGAGUUUGAUCCUGGCUCAGGAUGAACGCUGGCGGCGUGCUUAACACAUGCAAGUCGAACGAAGUUGUUUGAGAUUGUUAGGGAGCUUGCUCCACGACAUGAUCAAAUAACUUAGUGGCGGACGGGUGAGUAACGCGUGGGCAACCUGCCCUUCACAGGGGGAUAACACAGGGAAACUUGUGCUAAUACCGCAUAAGAUCGUAGAGCGACAUCGCUCAGCGACCAAAGGAGCAAUCCGGUGAAGGAGGGGCCCGCGUCUGAUUAGCCAGUUGGUGAGGUAACGGCCCACCAAAGCGACGAUCAGUAGCCGAACUGAGAGGUUGAUCGGCCACAUUGGGACGGAGACACGGCCCAGACUCCUACGGGAGGCAGCAGUGGGGAAUAUUGCGCAAUGGAGGAAACUCUGACGCAGCAACGCCGCGUGAAGGAUGAAGGUUUUCGGAUUGUAAACUUCUUUGACUAGGGACGAAAUUUGACGGUACCUAGAAAACAAGUCACGGCUAACUACGUGCCAGCAGCCGCGGUAAUACGUAGGUGACAAGCGUUAUCCGGAUUUACUGGGUGUAAAGGGCGUGUAGGCGGGUUUGCAAGUCAGAUGUGAAAUCCCGGGGCUCAACUCCGGAACUGCAUCUGAAACUGUAGAUCUUGAGUAUCGGAGAGGAAAGUGGAAUUCCCAGUGUAGCGGUGAAAUGCGUAGAGAUUGGGAGGAACACCAGUGGCGAAGGCGGCUUUCUGGACGAUAACUGACGCUGAGGCGCGAAAGCGUGGGGAGCAAACAGGAUUAGAUACCCUGGUAGUCCACGCUGUAAACGAUGAAUACUAGGUGUAGGGGGU